rnacentral:rRNA from 1 species
ACGGGGGGUGCAAGCGUUGUUCGGAAUUAUUGGGCGUAAAGAGCGUGUAGGCGGCAGGAUGUGUCAGAUGUGAAAGCCCUGAGCUCAACUCAGGAAGUGCAUUUGAAACUGUCCAGCUUGAGUAGGGGAGAGGGAAGUGGAAUUCCUGGUGUAGAGGUGAAAUUCGUAGAUAUCAGGAGGAACACCGGUGGCGAAGGCGACUUCCUGGCCCUAUACUGACGCUGAGACGCGAGAGCGUGGGUAGCAAACAG